GCUGGGCGUGGUGGCGUGCGCCUGUAAUCCCAGCUACUCGGGAGGCUGAGGCGGAAGAAUUGCUCGAACCCUGGAGGGGGAGGUUGCAGUCAGCCAAGAUCAUGCCACUGCACUCCAACCUGGGUGACAGAGCGAGACUCCGUCUCAA
rnacentral:SRP_RNA from 1 species